rnacentral:ribozyme from 1 species
UGAAUUAAGCUGAGCGAAAGAAAGAAAGAGGAAAUUGUUCAUUCUUCUUAUCUUCUCUGGUGUAUUUUGUUUCUAUUCUUUUCCCUUUUAUUCCGUUCGCUUAUAAUGGAAUGUAGUGGAAGCAUGAAGGGAACGGAAUGAAAGGAAAAAGAACGAAA